GACCAGAUAAAACGAGCAAACGCGUCGACGCGAGGAUAUAUAUACCGGGUGGCUCAUAAAUAAAAGCAUAUCCCUAUCGUACUUCAAUGUAGAUCACAUGGAAAAAAAUAUUAUUUAACUGAGGAUAGAAUUUCACCGAUUCUUUUUUUAUAUGGAUUAAAAGAUUACGUGUUACAAAAAUCACAAAAAUGUAUAUUAAAAGUGCUACCAAAUUUAAUCUGAUUUAAUCUCGAGAGAUUAACGAAGAAAGAAAGAAAAAAGAAGAAAAAUAGAGAAAAUCUACAAACUAAUAAUUUUUCAAGAACCACCAAAUUUUAUCAGUUUCCAGAAGAAAGAAUAAAAUAUUGGAAGAAAGAAGUAAACAUUCUACGACUCCACGGAGACACUUUUUUAAUUUAUAUUUUCACGAUUUUCGUAACGAAUAUUUCAUCAUCGACUGAACAGUGUUCUCAAAGUAUCACCCUAUAUAGAAAGAAGAAACGAACAUGUUCCACGAUCUUUUCUAAGAUAAUUAUAUUUUUAUGACGUGUGUUUCAUAGUUUCAUCGAUUGAACAGUCUUCUUAAAAUAUCGAUACUUACGAAUCACUCUGUAUAAAAAGAAAAGAAAAUAAAGAAGAUUGAAAAGAACAUUCCAAAAAGAGGCCACCUCUUUUAAUUUAUAUUUUCACGAUUUUCGUGACACAUAUUUCGUGAUAUCAUGAUUAAUUGAACAGUGUGUUCUCAAAGUAUCGAUACGGAUUUACGAAUCACCCUGUAUAAAAAGAAGAAAGAUAGAGAAGGAAGAAGUCACCGGUGAACAUUCCACGAAGGCACGGCUCAUCCAGAGCAGAAUCGUUCCCACGGUUCGCGAAUCCGCUUGGAACACCAUGCCGCUCCUCCUCCAAUCGCGUUUCCACUUCCGUUCAUCUCAGUAAUUAUUCAUUGAUGCGGAAACACAAUUUAAAAGCGCGACACUUUCCUCUCCGCUCGAAAGGGGGAGCGGAUUAGGCUGUAAAUCGUUUGGCCGAUGAAUGGAGGCACGGUGUCGGGUACGUGAUUGGUGUUUAUUAAUUCACGUGUCACGAUUUUGGUUAGCGGGUCUGGGACAAUGAUAAACGUAUAUUCUUUCAUGGAUUGUUAUUAUUAUAGUUGGUGGUGAUGAUAACCUUGGUUAUGCAUUGAUGGGUAGGAGAAUGUUCUGUCACAUGUGUGAUGCAAACGAUGUGGACUGGAUGAUAUAAUUGUACGGAUAAUGUGAUAUUUUGUGUUACAAUGUUCAUAUAUCGUGAUGUGUAAGAGAUUAUUGAUAUGUAUAUUUUUCUUUGCGUUGAUAAAUAAUAUUUGCAAAAAUAUUUAAAGAGUGAUCAAGUUAAAUGAUAUUUUAUAUUUAUGUUUAUAAUAUUGUACAAAUUUUCUUUAUUUUUUUAGCGUCAGAAUUCCAUAUUUUCUUUUCCAAAAUAACUAACUUAUUUGCAAAUUUAUCAAUUAACACAUAAUUAUACCUAAUUUUGUAAUAAUUUCAAUUGGUAAAUUUCGCAAUGUCAAUGAGAAAUACAUAUUUCUUAAUGUUUGACCACUACAAUCGUAAAUGCAAAUAACAAAAAGUACUUUUGGGUCACCCCAAUAUAAUAGCUUAUUGCGAUGAAAUUAUUGCGUUUGAAUAUUUAUGAUACACAUAAUCAAUACGAUAGAGAUAUAAAGUAAUAAUUUCUGAUAUAUAAAUGAUGCUCGAAUGUCAAUGCAAAUCAUUGUAGUAUAAAGAAGAAAGAUGAACAUAAAUUCGGUUUUACAAAACCUUGACUGGUCGAAGAUAAUAGAAGGGUAUUUUGUGAAAAAAUUAUAAAUAUGAAUUUUUUUAAAAAUUAAAAAUUUCUAUUACGAUUUAA